rnacentral:rRNA from 1 species
GACGAACGCUGGCGGCGUGCUUAACACAUGCCAGUCGAACGGAAAGGCCCUGCUUUUGUGGGGUGCUCGAGUGGCGAACGGGUGAGUAACACGCGAGUAACCUGCCCUUGACUUUGGGAUAACUUCAGGAAACUGGGGCUAAUACCGGAUAGGAGCUCCUGCUGCAUGGUGGGGGUUGGAAAGUUUCGGCGGUUGGGGAUGGACUCGCGGCUUAUCAGCUUGUUGGUGGGGUAGUGGCUUACCAAGGCUUUGACGGGUAGCCGGCCUGAGAGGGUGACCGGCCACAUUGGGACUGAGAGACGGCCCAGACUCCUACGGGAGGCAGCAGUGGGGAAUAUUGCACAGUGGGCGGAAGCCUGAUGCAGCAACGCCGCGUGCGGGAUGACGGCCUUCGGGUUGUAAACCGCUUUCGCCUGUGACGAAGCGUGAGUGACGGUAAUGGGUAAAGAAGCACCGGCUAACUACGUG